rnacentral:rRNA from 1 species
GAUGAACGCUGGCGGUGUGCCUAAUACAUGCAAGUCGAGCGAACAGACGAGGAGCUUACUCCUCUGACGUUAGCGGCGGACGGGUGAGUAACACGUGGAUAACCUACCUAUAAGACUGGGAUAACUUCGGGAAACCGGAGCUAAUACCGGAUAACAUGUUGAACCGCAUGGUUCAACAGUGAAAGACGGUCUUGCUGUCACUUAUAGAUGGAUCCGCGUCGCAUUAGCUAGUUGGUAAGGUGACGGCUUACCAAGGCAACGAUGCGUAGCCGACCUGAGAGGGUGAUCGGCCACACUGGAACUGAGACACGGUCCAGACUCCUACGGGAGGCAGCAGUAGGGAAUCUUCCGCAAAGGGCGAAAGCCUGACGGAGCAACGCCGCGUGAGUGAAGAAGGUCUUCGGAUCGUAAAACUCUGUUAUUAGGGAAGAACAAAUGUGUAAGUAACUAUGCACGUCUUGACGGUACCUAAUCAGAAAGCCACGGCUAACUACGUG